rnacentral:lncRNA from 1 species
AAAGACAACAAGGGACAACAUGGAACUUGUCAGUUGGAUUGUGUAGCUCAUCUUCUCUAGCAAUAUGAAUGCACAUGUUGAGAAUUUCCAAUUUAUGGCAUAGGGCUUCCUGCUGUCAAAUCUUAUCCAGUAAUUGUGUUGUUUUUUUUUUUUAAUGUGCCAUCACUAAUUGUAGCAUUAAGUAAAAACAACUCUGGUGAUUGUUGAACAGAAUGGCAUGUCAUAUAACAUAGGAAUCUAUGGCUCCCACGAUGCAGAUUCUUCUGGAAUGUCUUGGCUAAUUCUUCCAUUUGAAUCAAGUGGUAAUGAUUGCAAAUGUAACAUACGAUGCUAAAAACACUAGGUGAAAAUUUUUGUUCUGGAAUUGGAAUAAGGGCUUUUAAUUCCCAUUAAACCACUACAAUUCUUUCAUUCCAUUUUAGCACCAGUUAAAAGCUGGUGCGAUCAUUGGGUGAAUACAAAUAUGUGCAGAAAUUUGAAGGAAAACCAGUCAUUUGUUUUACAGGAAAGAAGCAUCAGUCCUACAGUUAGCUAUACUCAUUAGCAAUAACAGACAAAUAUUUAAAAGAUCUAGACAUGCAUUACAAAUUAAUUGGUUCUACAUCAUUUUUUCUUCCAGCCAGAAACUUCUGCCAUGGUGCAGAAUACCCGGGAACUACUGGAAAUCCUCAUGUCUGUGCCAGGCUUAUCUGAAUGAUGUUGGUCACUUCAAUGACAAGAGAACAGCAUUGUGGAAAUAGGGAGGUCACAAAGGAUUUGCUGUUGAGAGAAAAGCAUAUGGCAAUCCCUGCUGAAGAAGGGAAGCUGUGGCCCAGAGCAUUGUAUCACUGAGUAGCCAAGUUGGGAAGCACACCUGCAUCAGUCCUGUUUGUGGACAAACUUGUCACUUCCCUGCAAGUACGACAGGUACGUUCUUCACAGGCU